CGCUCUUUAUUGUUUCAAGAUUUGGAAAGCAGGAGAACGAAGAACAGAGGGAACGCUUAUGCUGGAUCUUCGGUCGUUUUUCGUUUCAGCCGCUCAACGACAAUCUUAUGUUUGGUCCUUCUUCUUCAACGUUUUGAUCUUAACUCUGUGAAGCCUGAGUACAAACUCAUUAUGAAUUGUGGUAAGAUUCAUGCAUGAGUACAAACUCAUUAUGAAUUGUGGUUGCAGGAGGUGAUAGUGCAGUAGGUUGGGUUUUGGGAUUUCUUGGUACAUGCAAUGACCUUUCAAGAACUUUCGGUUGGGGUGGUUCAAUCCCUAUUUACUGGAAAUCCGUAGUCAAGAAGACUCUCGAGAAUGCAUGCACAGGCAAACUCUGUCGUUUGGAUAGGCAAGUCUCUCAUAUGAAUGAUCUUAAUUUGUAAAUCUUCAGGUUUUGAUCUUAACUCUGUGAAGCCUCAUGAGUACAAACUCAUUAUGAAUUGUGGUUGCAGGAGGUGAUAGUGCAGUAGGUUGGGUUUUGGGACUUCUCGGUAUAGGCAACGACCUUUCAAGAACUUUUGGUUGGGGUGGUUCAAUCCCUAUUUACUGGAAUUUCGUAGUCAAGAAGACUCUCGACAAUGCCUACACAGGCAAACUCUGUCGUUUGAACAGGCAAGUCUCUCAUAUAAACAUAGGAAAGAACAAUAGAUAUGAAAUUAGUUAUAGAAACUUCCCAGCUAACUAAUCUGAUUGUAUGUUAAAGCAUAAGUAUUGAUCAAAAUGGGGUGGUAGAAGUAUGUUCUUCUGCGUUUGCAUUUUUUUCGUCUUAUUCUUUAUACAUAGAAGAUAUUUAUUGGCCAAACAUUUAGU